UACGUAGGGUGCGAGCGUUGUCCGGAAUUAUUGGGCGUGAAGAGCUUGUAGGCGGUUUGUCGCGUCUGCCGUGAAAAUUCGAGGCUCAACCUCGAACUUGCGGUGGGUACGGGCAGACUAGAGUGUGGUAGGGGAGACUGGAAUUCCUGGUGUAGCGGUGAAAUGCGCAGAUAUCAGGAGGAACACCGAUGGCGAAGGCAGGUCUCUGGGCCACUACUGACGCUGAGAAGCGAAAGCAUGGGGAGCGAACAGG
rnacentral:rRNA from 1 species